GGAGAGAUGGCUCAAGGGUUAAGAGCUCUGUCUGCUCUUUGAGAGGUCCUGAGUUCAAUUCCCAGUCACUACA
rnacentral:tRNA from 1 species